rnacentral:tRNA from 1 species
CAAAGUAUAGCUUAAGUAAAGCAUCCCGCUUACACCGGGACUAUAUCUGUUAAAUUCAGAUUGUUUUGAG